UAUUAUACCUAAUUCUGUUAAUUAAUUGCAACAAUUUCAGGUCUUCUCGGUCGCCUGCAAGUAAAUGCAAACAAAUAUAAUAAUUACACUCUCAUAAAAAUCACGGCUUAUGAUCAGCAGUUGAAGACGCUCACCGAUUCAGAUGACGUGGAUAUAAUGAAACACAGCCACGGGCUGAACGACACUACUGAUGUGUUGGUGUCCCCUAAAGAUCGGAUGAAGAACCGUAUAUGGAGAAAAUCAAGAUCAAAAACAUGGAAGGAGAAGUGCUUUGGAGCAGAUAUCAAUCGGAAUUACGGCUUCAAGUGGGGUACUGGUGACGCUUCCCUCGAUCCCUGCAGCUUCCAAACAUACGCCGGCGAAAAGGCCUUCUCUGAACCCGAGACGAGACUAGUUCGUAAAGUUAUGAAGGAAAACUCUAAACGUAUAAAGCUGUAUUUGUCUAUACACUCAUACGGAGAAUAUGUUCUUCAUCCUUGGGGUUAUACAAAUAAUAGUUUUCCAGAUGAACGGAAAAAGUUACAUCGUCUUGCACAAAAAUAUUGUUGUGGUAAAAGCAGGAGGGCGGCAGUUUAAAAUCAUGAGCGCUGGACAAUUGUACGCGGCUGGCGGAGGAAGCUUCGACUACGCUUUUGCGGUGGAAAAGAUUCCAUAUUCGUAUGUUUUGGAAAUAACUAACGAAUUUAUCUUUCCAGAGAAGCUCUUGAGCACAGUUCUGCCACAGUAUUACAAAGGUUUAAAGAAAAUGGCUAAAAAAAUUAAACGGGAAUUCCCCAAUAAAGGCUGAAUAGAGUUACACCACGAAGAAACGAUAUCAAUAGCCCUCGCAGUGAAAGAAUGACAAUAACACUUGCACUGCGUGCGCGUGUGCACUGUGUGCAAAAUCGUUGCAGACUUCUCUUGGUCUAACUCUAACCAUUUAUUAUAGUUUUUUUUAGUUGUCUCAACAAUACUACCUAAAUUAUAUCUAUUUAGCAAACAUAUGAUUUGGUUUACGGUUUAUAUCACAGAGGUCUUGUUACACGAUCAUAUACAAACAUUAAAUUUACACCAUUGGCUCUGUGAGCUGUAGAUGUCGCGAUAAGCUUAAGAAAAUAAAUGUAACAGUGGACCUUAACGCCAGAGACCCUUACUUCCGCCAUUUAGAACAUUAUUUCCAAAAAUGAAAUGACAUCACAUCUAUCUAACUA